GACGAACGCUGGCGGCGUGCUUAACACAUGCAAGUCGAACGGUAAGGCUCCAGCUUGCUGGGGUACACGAGUGGCGAACGGGUGAGUAACACGUGGGUGACCUGCCCUGCACUUCGGGAUAAGCCUGGGAAACUGGGUCUAAUACCGGAUAGGACCGCACCGUGAGGGUGUGGUGGAAAGUUUUUUCGGUGUGGGAUGGGCCCGCGGCCUAUCAGCUUGUUGGUGGGGUAAUGGCCUACCAAGGCGGCGACGGGUAGCCGGCCUGAGAGGGUGGACGGCCACAUUGGGACUGAGACACGGCCCAGACUCCUACGGGAGGCAGCAGUGGGGAAUAUUGCACAAUGGGCGGAAGCCUGAUGCAGCGACGCCGCGUGGGGGAUGACGGCCUUCGGGUUGUAAACUCCUUUCACCAUCGACGAAGGGUUUCUGACGGUAGAUGGAGAAGAAGCACCGGCUAACUACGUGCCAGCAGCCGCGGUAAUACGUAGGGUGCGAGCGUUGUCCGGAAUUACUGGGCGUAAAGAGCUCGUAGGUGGUUUGUCGCGUCGUCUGUGAAAUUCCGGGGCUUAACUCCGGGCGUGCAGGCGAUACGGGCAUAACUUGAGUACUGUAGGGGAGACUGGAAUUCCUGGUGUAGCGGUGAAAUGCGCAGAUAUCAGGAGGAACACCGGUGGCGAAGGCGGGUCUCUGGGCAGUAACUGACGCUGAGGAGCGAAAGCAUGGGGAGCGAACAGGAUUAGAUACCCUGGUAGUCCAUGCCGUAAACGGUGGGCGCUAGGUGUGGGUUUCCUUCCACGGGAUCCGUGCCGUAGCUAACGCAUUAAGCGCCCCGCCUGGGGAGUACGGCCGCAAGGCUAAAACUCAAAGGAAUUGACGGGGGCCCGCACAAGCGGCGGAGCAUGUGGAUUAAUUCGAUGCAACGCGAAGAACCUUACCUGGGCUUGACAUAUACAGGAUCGCGCCAGAGAUGGUGUUUCCCUUGUGGCUUGUAUACAGGUGGUGCAUGGUUGUCGUCAGCUCGUGUCGUGAGAUGUUGGGUUAAGUCCCGCAACGAGCGCAACCCUUGUCUUAUGUUGCCAGCACGUUGUGGUGGGGACUCGUAAGAAACUGCCGGGGUUAACUCGGAGGAAGGUGGGGAUGACGUCAAAUCAUCAUGCCCCUUAUGUCCAGGGCUUCACACAUGCCACAAUGGUCGGUACAGUGGGUUGCCAGUCCGUGAGGGCGAGCUAAUCCCGCAAAGCCGGUCUCAGUUCGGAUCGGGGUCUGCAACUCGACCCCGUGAAGUCGGAGUCGCUAGUAAUCGCAGAUCAGCAACGCUGCGGUGAAUACGUUCCCGGGCCU
rnacentral:rRNA from 1 species